rnacentral:tRNA from 1 species
GGAUUGUGGCUCGGUGGUAAGAGUGCUCGCUUAGCAUGGCCAGGACCUGGGUUCGAUUCUCAGCACCA